UGGGGAAUAUUGCACAAUGGAGGGAACUCUGAUGCAGCGACGCCGCGUGAACGAAGAAGGCUUUCGAGUCGUAAAGUUCUUUUAUAUGGGAAGAUAAUGACGGUACCAUAAGAAAAAGCCCCGGCUAACUACGUGCCAGCAGCCGCGGUAAUACGUAGGGGGCUAGCGUUGUCCGGAAUCACUGGGCGUAAAGGGUUCGCAGGCGGAAAUGCAAGUCAGGUGUAAAAGGCAGUAGCUUAACUACUGUAAGCAUUUGAAACUGCAUAUCUUGAGAAGAGUAGAGGUAAGUGGAAUUUUUAGUGUAGCGAUGAAAUGCGUAGAUAUUAAAAAGAAUACCGGUGGCGAAGGCGACUUACUGAGCUCAUUCUGACGCUGAGGAACGAAAGCGUGGGUAGCAAACAGG
rnacentral:rRNA from 1 species